rnacentral:rRNA from 1 species
GAUGAACGCUGGCGGCGUGCCUAAUACAUGCAAGUCGAGCGAACGGACGAGAAGCUUGCUUUUCUGAUGUUAGCGGCGGACGGGUGAGUAACACGUGGAUAACCUACCUAUAAGACUGGGAUAACUUCGGGAAACCGGAGCUAAUACCGGAUAAUAUUUUGAACCGCAUGGUUCAAAAGUGAAUGACGGUCUUGCUGUCUCUUAUAGAUGGAUCCGCGCUGCAUUAGCUAGUUGGUAAGGUAACGGCUUACCAAGGCAACGAUGCAUAGCCGACCUGAGAGGGUGAUCGGCCACACUGGAACUGAGACACGGUCCAGACUCCUACGGGAGGCAGCAGUAGGGAAUCUUCCGCAAUGGGCGAAAGCCUGACGGAGCAACGCCGCGUGAGUGAUGAAGGUCUUCGGAUCGUAAAACUCUGUUAUUAGGGAAGAAAAGAUGUGUAAGUAACUGUGCACAUCUUGACGGUACCUAAACAGAAAGCCACGGCUAACUACGUG